rnacentral:lncRNA from 1 species
GUGAAAUAGUCUCCAUAUACUAUAGAGGAUUAAGCACACAAGUGUAUACAGAAAUGCGCUCAAGUCUAUAAAAUUCGAUCAACGUGGAAAUUGAUAUUGUAGCAAAUGCAAUCCAAAAGACGCAACCAAUGGAAAGCAUCAAUUGUUGAGAUAUUGAAGAAGAGCCAACUCAAGAGGAAUAAAAGAACCGAGAAAUAAAAAAAAAAAAAAAUCCCUUCUAGAAAGAAAAAAUCCACGAUGGAGUUGCAGCCUACAGAAUCACAAAAGAAAAAAAGAAGAGUAGCCAAGAAAAAGUUUAAUGAUACAUUAAGAUUACAAGUGACGACAAUAUGCCGUUGAACAACAUUCUCUUGCAACCAAAACACAUAUAUAACUUAAAUCCAAAACCCAUAGAUUGAAAACCAAACAUUAACAUAAAUUAUCAAAUAACUACAAAAAUAAAAGAAAUUUGUCGAAUUGCAAAAAAGUAGACAUAAAAUAGCGAAAAUAAAUAAACGCCAUACUUGUCAACGAUGAUGCCUUGGCUCUGAGAACUAUUCUUUGAGAAGUUCUAAGAAUACUUGUAUAAUUUUAUGAGAAUCACAAAAAAAAAAAAAAAAACCAAAGCAAGAAAACUCAAAGGAGC